rnacentral:rRNA from 1 species
UUCUAUGGCCAUACCACCCUGAAUGGGCUUGAUCUUGUCGGAUCUUGGGAGCUACGCAGGGCCUGGUUAGCACUUGGAUGGGAGGAAUGAGCAGGGCGUUCUGGGGC